rnacentral:ncRNA from 1 species
AUAAACAAGAUAAUCAGGAGAGUAAUCAUUACUAGAUGGUUCAGAAAAUCUACAUUUUGCUGUGAGUAGAUCGAUUCGAAUAUGACGAAUAUGGCCUGUGAUUUGGCACUGUUGAUAUUUAAACAGUGAUGGGGUGGCAACCAUUAUUAAUUGCACACGUUUGUUUACAGACGUUAAGUGAGGAUAGUAGUGUAAGCUAUUAUCAAAUUAGAAUGGUAACACGGAACUCCGUUUCUAGA